rnacentral:rRNA from 1 species
GACGAACGCUGGCGGCGUGCCUAAUACAUGCAAGUCGACCUUAGUGGCGAACGGGUGAGUAACACGUGGGUAACCUGCCCAUCAGAAGGGGAUAACACUUGGAAACAGGUGCUAAUACCGAAUACUGCUGGAUGGACCCGCGGUCCAUUAGCUAGUUGGUGAGGUAACGGCUCACCAAGGCCACGAUGCCGAGCCGACCGGAUAGGGUGAGCUGCAAAAGUGGGCCUGAGACACGGCCCAAACUCCUACGGGAGGCAGCAGUAGGGAAUAUUCGGCAAUGGACGAAAGUCUGACCGAGCAACGCCGCGUGAGUGAAGAAGGUUUUCGGAUCGUAAAACUCUGUUGUUAGAGAAGCGGUAUCUAACCAGAAAGCCACGGCUAACUACGUGCCAGCCGCCGCGGUAAUAC